UUGAACGCUGGCGGAAUGCUUUACACAUGCAAGUCGAACGGCAGCACGGGGGCAACCCUUGUGGCGAGUGGCGAACGGGUGAAUAAUGUAUCGGAACGUACCCAGUCGUGGGGGAUAACUAUCCGAAAGGAUAGCUAAUACCGCAUACGUCCUGAAAAAAAAAGCGGAAAAUCGCAAAACCUCGCGCGAUUGGAACGACCGAUAUCGGAUUAGCUAGUUGGUGAGGUAAAGGCUCACCAAGGCGACGAUCCGUAGCGGGUCUGAGAGGACGACCCGCCACACUGGAACUGAGACACGGUCCAGACUCCUACGGGAGGCAGCAGUGGGGAAUUUUGGACAAUGGGGGAAACCCUGAUCCAGCCAUUCCGCGUGAGUGAAGAAGGCCUUCGGGUUGUAAAGCUCUUUCAGCAGGAACGAAACAGUCAGCUUUAAUAAAGUCGACUAAUGACAGUACCUACAGAAGAAGCACCAGCUAACUACAU
rnacentral:rRNA from 1 species